GACGAACGCUGGCGGCGUGCCUAAUACAUGCAAGUAGAACGCAGUCUCGAACGGUUGAGUAACGCGUAGGUAACUGCCUCCUAGCGGGGGAUAACUCUUGGACACGUUAGCUAAUACCGCAUACUGUCAGAUGGACCUGUGUUGUUUUAGCUAGUUGGCUAGGCAAAGGCUCACCAAGGCGACGAUACAUAGCCGACCUGAGAGGGUGAUCGGACACACUGGGAAUGAGACAAGGCCCAGACUGCUACGGGAGGCAGCAGUAGGGAAUCUUAGGCAAGGGACGGAAGUCUGACCGAGCAACGCCGCGUGAGUGAAGAAGGUUUUCGGAUCGUAAAGCUCUGUUGUUAGAGAAGCGGUAACUAAACAGAAAGGGACGGCUAACUACGUGCCAGCAGGCGCGGUAAUAC
rnacentral:rRNA from 1 species